UCUUUUCAUUCAGUAUUCUAUUUUAUACCUAUGAAGCAUAAACACACUCCCGGCCUCCCUUCUCCCCAGACCAGGGGAGGCUCUUAAUGCCUCCCGCCGCCGCACUCCCUCCCCGUCGGAAGCUUUCAUCCUGCUGAUAGGUAAAUCCUGUGUGAAGAACAAGUGAGUGCGUUAAGGGCACUCGCUGCCAAGAGCCGGUCAACAACUUUUUUCAAUGACAUCAUUUAUUUGAUAUCUAUGUUGAGACUGGACGUGAAUUACUCAUAAAAGCAAUCCGUGGUUCUCUGGGCUGAGUCAUUCUCGUGCUACAGGAUAGACAGGUGUAAUGGUGUGUUGUGCUGUUGUUGUUGUUGUAGUUGUUGUUGUUGUUGGUGGUGGUGGUGGUGCAGCACAGGGGAGGCUUCCAGCAGGCGGCUAAAGACCCAAGGAAUGCCCGCCGCUGUCAAGUUCUCUGAUCUCACCUACUGCUGCUUGCACUCCAUGACAUACUCCCACGAGUCCACAAAAAUUAUUUAAUUAUCGCUGUGAGAAUGAAUGUGCACAUUCGAAUCAGCAGCAGUUUUUCUUAUUGAACUUUUGGUGUUGCAUGAACACAGGAAGGGAAAUCAUGUGUUCACAUGUAUCUUCUUUACCGUAGCGCGAGUCUAGUGGAUACAGUGACAGUCUUGGGAACCCAGGGUGUGGAGGGAAGCCCAUACAAAAUAUAAUAAAUAAAUAAUGUGAUAAAACAAUAAUUCACAUAAGAUGGGGAAAUAGACCAACUUUAAAAAAAAGAAAAAGGGCCCCCGUGGCUCAGUGGGUAGAGUGAUGCACUUGGAGUUUGGCGUGAGGGAAGUGAGGGGCGCGUAGGUUCGAACCCCCCUCUCGGAACUUACAAAAACCUUCAAAGAGCUUCCCUCCAUCACCAUGUGUGAUGGAGCUGCCCACGGGGAGGAGGGGAGGUGAGUGCACAGCACCUCCCUACCCUCCCCAGGGGUGGAAGGCACCGCCUUACCACCCCCGGGAGAGCAAGGGAGGUGAGUGCACAGCGCUUCCCUUCUCUCCCCUACCUAACCCUGGCAAGUCUACGGACUACCAGGCAAAAAAUAAUAAAAAUAAAAAAAAAUCAAUAAAGGUGAGUGCGUAGCACUUCCCUUCUCUCCACCUACCGGGCAAAAGAUAAUAAAUAAAUAAAAGGUGAGUGCAUAGCACUUCCCUUCUCUCUACCUACAGGCCAAAAGAAAAUAAAUAAAUAAAGGUGAGUGCGUAGCACUUCCCUUCUCUCCCCACCCAAACUAUCAAAAUUAAUUUCUCUGGCAAGAAAGAUUAAAAAAACCUGACCCUGGCACCACCAACCUGACUGACUCUGAAUCUGACUCUGACAACCAACCAACCACCUCCCCUGGGGAGCAUGGGAGGUGAGUGUGCAGCACCUCCCUACCCUCCCCAGUCUCCUAGUUUGACUUUCACCACCAAACUCAUCCUACCUUUCUGACUCAUCCUGGCACCUUCCUACUCUCCCCAUCCUGGCAACUCAAAAAAAAAAAAAAAAAAAAAAACUGACUGACCCUGGGAAGCAUGGGAGGUGAGUGUGCAGCACCUCCCUACCCUUCCCAGUCUCCCAGUUUGACUUUGACUCAUCCUAGCAACUCCAAAGAGCAACUCCAAAUGUACAGACCACCAGUAUCUCCUACUCUCCCCACCAUGACUGACAACUGAUCCUGGCAAGGUGAGUGCGUAGCACUUCCCUACCUGACUGACCCUGGCAGCACCCCCCCCACCCCAAUCUGGCUCUGAUCAUUACUUACAAAUGUGUAAUCUGACAACAGUCCACCAAACUGACUGGGGAGCAUGGGAGGUGAGUGUGCAGCACCUCCCUACACUUCCCAGUCUCUGACUCAUCCUGGCAACUCCAAAGAGCAACUCCAAAUGUAUAGACCCUGAUUACAGACCUGACUGACCCUGAUCCUUUCCCUAUCCUACCCUGGUAUCUCCAACAACUUACUAAUAUGUAAUCUGACAACAGGCCACCAAACUGACUGACCCUGGGAAGCAUGGGAGGUGAGUGUGCAGCACCUUCCUACCCUUCCCAGUCUCCCAGUUUGACGAUGACCACCAUCCUGACUCAUCCUGUCAACUCCAAAAACCACCAACUAUACAGACCACCAUCCU